ensembl:misc_RNA Metazoa_SRP Metazoan signal recognition particle RNA
GCUGGGUGUAGUGGCUCACGCCUGUAAUCCUGACACUUUGGGAGGCUGAGGUGGGUGGAUCACCUGAGGUCAGGAGUCCCAGACCAGCCUGGCCAACAUGGUGAAACCCCAUCUCUA